GGGCCAGUGGCGCAAUGGAUAACGCGUCUGACUACGGAUCAGAAGAUUCUAGAAAUAGUAACUAAGGGCAGAAUUUGGCCCA
rnacentral:tRNA from 2 species